GUGCUCACUUCAGCAGCAUAUAUACUAAAACUGGAACAAUACAGAGAAGAUUAGCAUGGCCCCUGCACAAGGAUGACACGCAAAUUCACGAGGCUUCCAUACCUUUU
ensembl:snRNA U6 U6 spliceosomal RNA